rnacentral:sRNA from 1 species
GCUGGGUGUGGUGAUGCAAACCUGUAAUCCCAGUGACUCAGGAGGAUGAGGCAAGAGGAUUGCAAGUUUGAGGCCAGUCUCAGCAACUUAGUGAGGCCCUAAGCAACUUAGCAAGAUCCUGUCUCAA